UACGUAGGGGGCAAGCGUUAUCCGGAUUUACUGGGUGUAAAGGGAGCGUAGAUGGAAGGGCAAGUUUGGAGUGAAAGCCUGCGGCUCAACCGCAGAACUGCUUUGAAAACUGUUCAUCUAGAGUACUGGAGAGGUAAGAGGAAUUUCUAGUGUAGUGGUAAAAUGCGUAGAUAUUAGGAAGAACACCGGAGGCGAAGGCGUCUUACUGGACAGAUACUGACAUUGAGGCUCGAAAGCGUGGGUAGCAAAC
rnacentral:rRNA from 1 species